ACUCCUACGGGAGGCAGCAGUGGGGAAUAUUGCACAAUGGGGGAAACCCUGAUGCAGCCAUGCCGCGUGUGUGAAGAAGGCCUUGGUUGUAAAGCACUUUCAGUAGGAGGAAGGUAGUGUAGUUAACACCUGCAUUAUUUGUACGUUACCUACAGAAGAAGCACCGGCUAACUCCGUGCCAGCAGCCGCGGUAAUACGGAGGGUGCGAGCGUUAAUCGGAAUUACUGGGCGUAAAGCGCAUGCAGGCGGCCUGUUAAGUCAGAUGUGAAAGCCCGGGGCUUAACCUCGGAAUUGCAUUUGAAACUGGCAGGCUAGAGUCUUGUAGAGGGGUUAGGAAUUUCAGGUGUAGCGGUGAAAUGCGUAGAGAUCUGAAGG
rnacentral:rRNA from 1 species